rnacentral:rRNA from 1 species
UACGGAGGGAGCUAGCGUUGUUCGGAAAUACUGGGCGUAAAGCGCACGUAGGCGGCGCAGCAAGUCAGGGGUGAAAUCCCGGGGCUCAACCCCGGAACUGCCCUUGAAACUGCAGUGCUAGAAUUCUGGAGAGGCGAGUGGAAUUCCGAGUGUAGAGGUGAAAUUCGUAGAUAUUCGGAAGAACACCAGUGGCGAAGGCGAGUCCCUGGACAACUUCUGACGCUGAGGCACGAAAGCUAGGGGAGCAAACAGG